rnacentral:rRNA from 1 species
CUGAUUGAUAAACAUUUGAGUGAGUGGCGGACGGGUGAGUAACACGUGGGUAACCUGCCCUAAAGUGGGGGAUAACAUUUGGAAACAGAUGCUAAUACCGCAUAAAACCUAACACCGCAUGGUGUAGGGUUGAAAGAUGGUUUCGGCUAUCACUUUAGGAUGGACCCGCGGUGCAUUAGUUAGUUGGUGAGGUAAAGGCUCACCAAGACCGUGAUGCAUAGCCGACCUGAGAGGGUAAUCGGCCACACUGGGACUGAGACACGGCCCAGACUCCUACGGGAGGCAGCAGUAGGGAAUCUUCCACAAUGGACGAAAGUCUGAUGGAGCAACGCCGCGUGAGUGAAGAAGGUUUUCGGAUCGUAAAACUCUGUUGUUGGAGAAGAAUGUAUCUGAUAGUAACUGAUCAGGUAGUGACGGUAUCCAACCAGAAAGCCACGGCUAACUACGUGCCAGCAGCCGCGGUAAUACGUAGGUGGCAAGCGUUGUCCGG